rnacentral:rRNA from 1 species
GACGAACGCUGGCGGCGUGCCUAAUACAUGCAAGUAGAACGCUGAAGGAGGAGCUUGCUCUUCUGGAUGAGUUGCGAACGGGUGAGUAACGCGUAGGUAACCUGCCUGGUAGCGGGGGAUAACUAUUGGAAACGAUAGCUAAUACCGCAUAACAGUAGAUGUUGCAUGACAUUUGCUUAAAAGGUGCAAUUGCAUCACUACCAGAUGGACCUGCGUUGUAUUAGCUAGUUGGUGGGGUAACGGCUCACCAAGGCGACGAUACAUAGCCGACCUGAGAGGGUGAUCGGCCACACUGGGACUGAGACACGGCCCAGACUCCUACGGGAGGCAGCAGUAGGGAAUCUUCGGCAAUGGACGGAAGUCUGACCGAGCAACGCCGCGUGAGUGAAGAAGGUUUUCGGAUCGUAAAGCUCUGUUGUAAGAGAAGAACGAGUGUGAGAGUGGAAAGUUCACACUGUGACGGUAUCUUACCAGAAAGGGACGGCUAACUACGU